rnacentral:rRNA from 1 species
UACAGAGGGGGCAAGCGUUAUUCGGAAUUAUUGGGCGUAAAGAGCUCGUAGGCGGUCUGUCGCGUCGGCUGUGAAAUCCCGAGGCUCAACCUCGGGUCUGCAGUCGAUACGGGCAAACUGGAGUGUUGCAGGGGAGACUGGAAUUCCUGGUGUAGCGGUGAAAUGCGCAGAUAUCAGGAGGAACACCGGUGGCGAAGGCGGGUCUCUGGGCAACAACUGACGCUGAGGAGCGAAAGCGUGGGGAGCGAACAGG